UACGUAGGGUGCAAGCGUUGUCCGGAAUUAUUGGGCGUAAAGAGCUCGUAGGCGGCUUGUCACGUCGGGUGUGAAAGCCCGGGGCUUAACCCCGGGUCUGCAUUCGAUACGGGCUGGCUGGAGUGUGGUAGGGGAGAUCGGAAUUCCUGGUGUAGCGGUGAAAUGCGCAGAUAUCAGGAGGAACACCGGUGGCGAAGGCGGAUCUCUGGGCCAUUACUGACGCUGAGGAGCGAAAGCGUGGGGAGCGAACAGG
rnacentral:rRNA from 1 species